AGCUGGUCCAAAGACAGUGAGUUAUCUCAAUUUAUUGUUCACAGUCAGUUACAGAUCGAACUCCUUGUUUGACUCCUUCCUCCUUACUUGCUACUGCACUUGACUAGUCUUAA
rnacentral:Y_RNA from 1 species